rnacentral:rRNA from 1 species
AUUGAACGCUGGCGGCAGGCCUAACACAUGCAAGUCGAGCGAGCGGCGGACGGGUGAGUAAUGUAUGGGAAUCUGCCCGAUGGAGGGGGAUAACUACUGGAAACGGUGGCUAAUACCGAAUACUAUCGGAUGAACCCAUAUGGGAUUAGCUGGUAGGUGGGGUAAAGGCUCACCAAGGCGACGAUCCCUAGCUGGUCUGAGAGGAUGAUCAGCCACACUGGGACUGAGACACGGCCCAGACUCCUACGGGAGGCAGCAGUGGGGAAUAUUGCACAAUGGGCGCAAGCCUGAUGCAGCCAUGCCGCGUGUAUGAAGAAGGCCUUCGGGUUGUAAAGUACUUUCAGCGGGGAGGCGUUACCCGCAGAAGAAGCACCGGCUAACUCCGUGCCAGCAGCCGCGGUAAUUC